GUAGGGAAUAUUGGGCAAUGGAUGCAAGUCUGACCCAGCCAUCCCGCGUGCCGGAAGAAGGCCCUCAGGGUUGUAAACGGCUUUUGACGGUGAAGAAUCGACAGGAUGCGUCCUGUUUUGACGGUAGCCGUUGAAUAAGCACCGGCUAACUCCGUGCCAGCAGCCGCGGUAAUACGGAGGGUGCGAGCGUUGUCCGGAUUUAUUGGGUUUAAAGGGUGCGUAGGCUGGAAGGUCAGUCAGCGGUGAAAAGCUGUCGCUUAACGAUAGUCUUGCCGCAGAUACUUCCUUUCUUGGAUGAGGAGGAGGCCACUGGAACGGAUGGUGUAGCGGUGAAAUGCAUAGAUAUCAUCCAGAACACCGAUUGCGAAGGCAGGUGGCUGUACCUUAAUCGACGCUGAUGCACGAAAGAAUGGGGAGCAAACAGGAUUAGAAACCCGGGUAGUCC
rnacentral:rRNA from 1 species